rnacentral:rRNA from 1 species
GAUGAACGCUGGCGGCGUGCCUAAUACAUGCAAGUCGAACGAACAGACGAGGAGCUUGCUCCUCUGACGUUAGCGGCGGACGGGUGAGUAACACGUGGAUAACCUACCUAUAAGACUGGGAUAACUUCGGGAAACCGGAGCUAAUCCCGGAUAAUAUAUUGAACCGCAUGGUUCAAUAGUGAAUUACGGUUGUGCUGUCACUUAUAGAUGGAUCCGCGCCGCAUUAGCUAGUUGGUAAGGUAACGGCUUACCAAGGGAACGAUGCGUAGCCGACCUGAGAGGGUGAUCGGCCACACUGGAACUGAGACACGGUCCAGACUCCUACGGGAGGCAGCAGUAGGGAAUCUUCCGCAAUGGGCGAAAGCCUGACGGAGCAACGCCGCGUGAGUGAUGAAGGUCUUCGGAUCGUAAAACUCUGUUAUUAGGGAAGAACAAAUGUGUAAGUAACUAUGCACGUCUUGACGGUACCUAAUCAGAAAGCCACGGCUAACUACGUG